ACCCUCUCAGGGUCACAUCUGGAGAGUUUCCAAUUCUCUACCAGUCUCAAUGAUGGGAGGGAGAGUGAAGCAGAGGUCUGUCCAUUCCAUUCCUAGCUUGGGCAGUGGUUAGAAAGUGGAAGGCAAUCUGCUACAAGU